rnacentral:rRNA from 1 species
UCAAAAGAGUGCUUCUUCUAGGAGCAUUUGUUUGAGGAGGAGCCCGCGACCUAUCAGCUUGUUGGUAGGGUAACGGCCUACCAAGGCAAAGACGGGUAGCUGGUCUGAGAGGAUGACCAGCCACACGGGGACUGAGACACGGCCCCGACUCCUACGGGAGGCAGCAGUGGGAAUAUUGGGCAAUGGGGGAAACCCUGACCCAGCGACGCCGCGUGGGUGAUGAAGGCCUUCGGGUCGUAAAGCCUUGUCAGGAGGAACGAACGUUUCUAGAGUUAAUAGCUCUAGAAAGUGACGGUACCUCUGAAGGAAGCACCGGCCAACUCCGUGCCAGCAGCCGCGGUAA